rnacentral:rRNA from 1 species
AAAUUGAAGAGUUUGAUCAUGGCUCAGAUUGAACGCUGGCGGCAGGCCUAACACAUGCAAGUCGAGCGGUAACACAGAGGAGCUUGCUCCUUGGGUGACGAGCGGCGGACGGGUGAGUAAUGCCUGGGGAUCUGCCCGAUAGAGGGGGAUAACUACGGGAAACUGUAGCUAAUACCGCAUAAUGUCUACGGACCAAAGUGGGGGCUCUUCGGACCUCAUGCUAUCGGAUGAACCCAGGUGGGAUUAGCUAGUUGGUGAGGUAAUGGCUCACCAAGGCGACGAUCUCUAACUGGUUUGAGAGAAUGACCAGUCACACUGGAACUGAGACACGGUCCAGACUCCUACGGGAGGCAGCAGUGGGGAAUAUUGCACAAUGGGCGCAAGCCUGAUGCAGCCAUGCCGCGUGUGUGAAGAAGGCCUUCGGGUUGUAAAGCACUUUCAGCGGGGAGGAAGGG